CGGACCACGAUGAAUUUUGUGAAGUGGGAUUGUCUCAUUUUAGCAGUUCUUUCGCUCUGUACGUCGAUAUGCUCAACACAAGCGUCGCUUAUUCGCCUGAAAGGGGAGCAGAAGAUUCAAUUUCGCUGUAGCUGUAGAUAUGUGAUUAUUUCUGUUGACUGUCUACUGCUACAGACUGUCAUCAUCGCUGCUUAAACGCGCACCAAAAUGACGAUAAGUAUUGCAAAGAUGAUGGAGACGGUGUAACAUAUUGUAAAAUGUGUGAACCAUGGUGGACGGGAAACCACUGCAAAG